rnacentral:rRNA from 1 species
UACGGAGGGUGCAAGCAUUGAUCGGAAUUACUGGGCGUAAAGGGCGCGUAGGCGGUUCGGAAAGUUAGAUGUGAAAUUCCAGGGCUCAACUCUGGAGCUGCAUUUAAAACUUCCGAACUAGAGUACAGUUAGGGAAAACGGAAUUCCACGUGUAGCGGUGAAAUGCGUAGAUAUGUGGAAGAACACCGGUGGUGAAGACGGUUUUCUGGGCUGAAACUGACGCUGAGGCGCGAAAGCAAGGGGAGCAAAC